UAGCUCGGUCGGUAAAGCGUCUGCCCCAUGUGCAGAGGCUCAGCAGGUUUUUGGGUUCGAUUCCCACCUCCGGCC